rnacentral:misc_RNA from 1 species
ACUCAUGGCAUAUGAGAUGUAACUGCGCAUCCUUCCCUGACUAGUAAUACGAAUCUCAUUCUCGUCAAUUGGUGUAUCAGCUUUAGGCUUCUCCACUCUCUGGUACCGAUCCAUCUUGAAGAUUUGGAGAUAAGUUUGCUCGGCCAAGAAAGAGCCCUCUUCUACGGCUUCGUUUAUUCUUUUAAGCCCUAAACCGCUGAUCGAG